GACGAACGCUGGCGGCGUGCCUAAUACAUGCAAGUAGAACGCAGUUGCGAACGGGUGUGUAACGCGUAGGUAACUGCCUGGUAGCGGGGGAUAACUAUUGGAAACGAUAGCUAAUACCGCAUACUACCAGAUGGACCUGCGUUGUAUUAGCUAGUGGGUGAGGUAACGGCACACCAAGGCAACGAUACAUAGCCGACCUGAGAGGGUGAUCUGCCACACUGGGACAUAGACAAGGCCCAGACUCCUACGGUAGGAAGCAGUAGGGAAUCGUCGGCAAUGGGGGGAUCCGUGACCGAGUAACGGCGCGUUAGUGAAGAAGGUUUUCGGAUCAUAAAGCUCUGGAGUUAAGGAAGCGGUACUUAACCAGAAAGGGACGGCUAACUACGUGCCAGCAGCCGCGGUAAUAC
rnacentral:rRNA from 1 species